rnacentral:rRNA from 1 species
CUACGGGAGGCAGCAGUGGGGAAUAUUGGACAAUGGGGGAAACCCUGAUCCAGCCAUGCCGCGUGUGUGAAGAAGGCCUUCGGGUUGUAAAGCACUUUAAGCGGGGAGGAAGGGCUGAGGGUUAAUAACCUUCAGCAUUGACGUUACCCGCAGAAUAAGCACCGGCUAACUCUGUGCCAGCAGCCGCGGUAAUACAGAGGGUGCAAGCGUUAAUCGGAAUUACUGGGCGUAAAGCGCGCGUAGGUGGUUAUGUAAGUUGGAUGUGAAAGCCCCGGGCUUAACCUGGGAAUGGCAUUCAAAACUGCAGGGCUAGAGUACGGGAGAGGGGGGUAGAAUUCCAGGUGUAGCGGUGAAAUGCGUAGAGAUCUGGAGGAAUACCGAUGGCGAAGGCAGCCCCCUGGCCUGAUACUGACACUGAGGUGCGAAAGCAUGGGGAGCAAACAGGAUUAGAUACCCUGGUAGUCCAUGCCGUAAACGAUGUCGAACUAGGUGUUGGGGAACUUGAUUCCUUAGUGCCGCAGCUAACGCAAUAAGAAGGAAAUUCUGAUAGCUCUUUUUUCA